GCAGCACAGUAAGAGCUUGCUCUUAUGGGUGGCGAGUGGCGGACGGGUGAGGAAUACAUCGGAAUCUACUCUUUCGUGGGGGAUAACGUAGGGAAACUUACGCUAAUACCGCAUACGACCUACGGGUGAAAGCGGAGGACCUUCGGGCUUCGCGCGAUUGAAUGAGCCGAUGUCGGAUUAGCUAGUUGGCGGGGUAAAGGCCCACCAAGGCGACGAUCCGUAGCUGGUCUGAGAGGAUGAUCAGCCACACUGGAACUGAGACACGGUCCAGACUCCUACGGGAGGCAGCAGUGGGGAAUAUUGGACAAUGGGCGCAAGCCUGAUCCAGCCAUGCCGCGUGGGUGAAGAAGGCCUUCGGGUUGUAAAGCCCUUUUGUUGGGAAAGAAAAGCAGUCGGUUAAUACCCGAUUGUUCUGACGGUACCCAAAGAAUAAGCACCGGCUAACUUCGUGCCAGCAGCCGCGGUAAUACGAAGGGUGCAAGCGUUACUCGGAAUUACUGGGCGUAAAGCGUGCGUAGGUGGUGGUUUAAGUCUGUUGUGAAAGCCCUGGGCUCAACCUGGGAAUUGCAGUGGAUACUGGGUCACUAGAGUGUGGUAGAGGGUAGCGGAAUUCCCGGUGUAGCAGUGAAAUGCGUAGAGAUCGGGAGGAA
rnacentral:rRNA from 1 species